rnacentral:rRNA from 2 species
CGCCGAAAUACGUGCCCCGCCGCCCCCGUGAAUUUGAACCGGCCCACCAAGUCCGAACAAAGUAAACCUUAAAAUUUGGAAACCCUGCUCAGGACGAACGCUGGCGGCGUGCCUAAUACAUGCAAGUCGAACGAACUCUGGUAUUGAUUGGUGCUUGCAUCAUGAUUUACAUUUGAGUGAGUGGCGAACUGGUGAGUAACACGUGGGAAACCUGCCCAGAAGCGGGGGAUAACACCUGGAAACAGAUGCUAAUACCGCAUAACAACUUGGACCGCAUGGUCCGAGUUUGAAAGAUGGCUUCGGCUAUCACUUUUGGAUGGUCCCGCGGCGUAUUAGCUAGAUGGUGGGGUAACGGCUCACCAUGGCAAUGAUACGUAGCCGACCUGAGAGGGUAAUCGGCCACAUUGGGACUGAGACACGGCCCAAACUCCUACGGGAGGCAGCAGUAGGGAAUCUUCCACAAUGGACGAAAGUCUGAUGGAGCAACGCCGCGUGAGUGAAGAAGGGUUUCGGCUCGUAAAACUCUGUUGUUAAAGAAGAACAUAUCUGAGAGUAACUGUUCAGGUAUUGACGGUAUUUAACCAGAAAGCCACGGCUAACUACGUGCCAGCAGCCGCGGUAAUACGUAGGUGGCAAGCGUUGUCCGGAUUUAUUGGGCGUAAAGCGAGCGCAGGCGGUUUUUUAAGUCUGAUGUGAAAGCCUUCGGCUCAACCGAAGAAGUGCAUCGGAAACUGGGAAACUUGAGUGCAGAAGAGGACAGUGGAACUCCAUGUGUAGCGGUGAAAUGCGUAGAUAUAUGGAAGAACACCAGUGGCGAAGGCGGCUGUCUGGUCUGUAACUGACGCUGAGGCUCGAAAGUAUGGGUAGCAAACAGGAUUAGAUACCCUGGUAGUCCAUACCGUAAACGAUGAAUGCUAAGUGUUGGAGGGUUUCCGCCCUUCAGUGCUGCAGCUAACGCAUUAAGCAUUCCGCCUGGGGAGUACGGCCGCAAGGCUGAAACUCAAAGGAAUUGACGGGGGCCCGCACAAGCGGUGGAGCAUGUGGUUUAAUUCGAAGCUACGCGAAGAACCUUACCAGGUCUUGACAUACUAUGCAAAUCUAAGAGAUUAGACGUUCCCUUCGGGGACAUGGAUACAGGUGGUGCAUGGUUGUCGUCAGCUCGUGUCGUGAGAUGUUGGGUUAAGUCCCGCAACGAGCGCAACCCUUAUUAUCAGUUGCCAGCAUUAAGUUGGGCACUCUGGUGAGACUGCCGGUGACAAACCGGAGGAAGGUGGGGAUGACGUCAAAUCAUCAUGCCCCUUAUGACCUGGGCUACACACGUGCUACAAUGGAUGGUACAACGAGUUGCGAACUCGCGAGAGUAAGCUAAUCUCUUAAAGCCAUUCUCAGUUCGGAUUGUAGGCUGCAACUCGCCUACAUGAAGUCGGAAUCGCUAGUAAUCGCGGAUCAGCAUGCCGCGGUGAAUACGUUCCCGGGCCUUGUACACACCGCCCGUCACACCAUGAGAGUUUGUAACACCCAAAGUCGGUGGGGUAACCUUUUAGGAACCAGCCGCCUAAGGUGGGACAGAUGAUUAGGGUGAAGUCGUACAAGGGUAAC